GGAGUUAGCCGGUGCUUCUUCUGUGAGUGAUGUCCUUCCUGCCGGCUAUUAACCCGCAGGCCUUCUUCCUCACUGAAAGUGCUUUACAACCCGAAGGCCUUCUUCACACACGCGGCAUGGCUGGAUCAGGGUUGCCCCCAUUGUCCAAUAUUCCCCACUGCUGCCUCCCGUAGGAGUCUGGGCCGUGUCUCAGUCCCAGUGUGGCUGAUCAUCCUCUCAGACCAGCUACGGAUCGUCGCCUUGGUGAGCCGUUACCUCACCAACCAGCUAAUCCGACAUAGGCUCAUCCGAUAGCGCGAGGCCCGAAGGUCCCCCGCUUUCCCCCGUAGGGCCGUAUGCGGUAUUAGCCUGGGUUUCCCCAGGUUAUCCCCACUACCGGGCAGAUUCCUAUGCAUUACUCACCCGUCCGCCGCUCGCCACCAGGGAGCAAGCUCCCCGUGCUGCCGCUCGACUUGCAUGUGUAGCNCGCCGCCACGCGUCAUCUGACCAACGANACAACUACUCGA
rnacentral:rRNA from 1 species